UGUCCUCUUAGUCGGUUAUUGGUGCUAAU
rnacentral:sRNA from 1 species